GAUGAAGAACGCAGCGAAAUGCGAUACUUGGUGUGAAUUGCAGAAUCCCGUGAACCAUCGAGUCUUUGAACGCAAGUUGCGCCCGAAGCCAUUAGGCCGAGGGCACGCCUGCCUGGGCGUCACACGUCGUUGCCCCCCCAUCUACUCCUUCGGGAUUGCGGGGGGCGGAUGAUGUCCUCCCGUGCGCCUCGUCGCGCGGUUGGCAUAAAUGCCAAGUCCUCGGCGACACACGCCACGACAAUCGGUGGUUGCGAAACCUCGGUUGCCCGUCGUGUGCGGUCGUCGCGCAUCGAGGGCUCGAAAAAAUUGCCGGGCUCCGGCUCGGCUUUCAACGCGAACCCAGGUCAGGCGGGGUUACCCGCUGAAUUUAAGCAUAUCAAUAAGCGGAGGA
rnacentral:misc_RNA from 1 species